rnacentral:rRNA from 1 species
AGUGAACGCUGGCGGUAUGCCUAACACAUGCAAGUCGAACGGCAGCACAGUAAGAGCUUGCUCUUACGGGUGUCGAGUGUCGGACGGGUGAGGAAUACAUCGGAAUCUACUUUUUCGUGGGUGAUAACGUAGGGAAACUUACGCUAAUACCGCAUACGACCUACGGGUGAAAGCAGGGGAUCUUCUGACCUUGCGCGAUUGAAUGAGCCGAUGUCGGCUUAGCUAGUUGGCGGGGUAAAGGCCCACCAAGGCGACGAUCCGUAGCUGGUCUGAGAGGAUGAUCAGCCACACUGGAACUGAGACACGGUACAGACACCUACGGGAGGACGCAGUGGGGAAUAUUGGACAAUGGGCGCAAGCCUGAUCCAGCAAUACCGCGUGGGUCAAGAAGGCCUUCGGGUUGUAAAGCCAUUUUGUUGGGAAAGUAAAGCAGCAGGUUAAUACCCCGCUGUUCUGACGGUACCCAAAGAAUAAGCACCGGCUAACUUCGUG